rnacentral:rRNA from 1 species
CAGUAGCCACGGUAAUACGAAGGGUGCAAGCGUUACUCGGAAUUACUGGGCGUAAAGCGUGCGUAGGCGGACUCUUAAGUCAGGGGUGAAAUCCUGGAGCUCAACUCCAGAACUGCCUUUGAUACUGAGAGCCUUGAGUUCGGGAGAGGUGAGUGGAACUGCGAGUGUAGAGGUGAAAUUCGUAGAUAUUCGCAAGAACACCAGCGGCGAAGGCGGCUCACUGGCCCGAUACUGACGCUGAGGUGCGAAAGCGUGGGGAGCAAACAGGAUUAGAUACCCGCGUAGUCCCUGUCUCUUAUAC